AAGAGUGAGUGCUCCUGGGAAUAUCCAAAAAAAUGAAUGAAGAAAAUCAUCUAUUUUGUUUAUAAACAAAGGCAAACAAAAUAUGGGGAUAAAGAAGCCAUAAUGAAGACAGUAAGACCAACUAAUACAUUUCAAACUUAAAUGGAGAAGGAAUUGAUAUUUCCAGAAGUUUCUGAACUGAAUGGCUUGGGGAUUUUGACCUGGUCCUCAAGAAAGAACUAGAGAUCUGGGUACGACCAGACUUCCUGCAUGGAGACCCUUUAGUGGAGUGGAAGACCCAGGCCUGGGGCUCUCCGUCUCCACUGUCCCAGCCGGGACCUGCCCAACAGAGCCCAGAGGAAGAGAAGAAGGUUCUGUCUCUCAGGAUGAUGCUAACAGGAAGACUGGGCCUUGGGAGGACUGGGAAGCAGAAGUUUGCAGAGGAAGUGAUUUGCCUCACAUCAUCCAGUUAGAAGCAGGCUCUUUGGCUCAUAAAGCAGGGCACUAUUUUAUUCCUGAGGUGCCUAGGCCCUUCCUGGAGAGAAACUGAGACAGAU